rnacentral:rRNA from 1 species
UACGUAGGGGGCAAGCGUUGUGCGGAUUUAUUGGGCGUAAAGGGCGCGCAGGCGGUCUCUUAAGUCUGAUGUGAAAGCCCACGGCUCAACCGUGGAAGGUCAUUGGAAACUGGGAGACUUGAGUGUAGGAGAGGAAAGUGGAAUUCCACGUGUAGCGGUGAAAUGCGUAGAGAUGUGGAGGAACACCAGUGGCGAAGGCGCCUUUCUGGCCUAUAACUGACGCUGAGGCGCGAAAGCGUGGGGAGCAAACAGG